UACGUAGGGGGCGAGCGUUGUCCGGAUUUAUUGGGCGUAAAGAGCGUGUAGGCGGCUUUACAGGUCCGUUGUGAAAACUCGAGGCUCAACCUCGAGACGCCGGUGGAAACCGUAAAGCUAGAGUCCGGAAGAGGAGAGUGGAAUUCCUGGUGUAGCGGUGAAAUGCGCAGAUAUCAGGAAGAACACCCGUGGCGAAGGCGGCUCUCUGGGACGGUACUGACGCUGAGACGCGAAGGCCAGGGGAGCAAACGGG
rnacentral:rRNA from 1 species